UACUAAUGAUGAGAAGUUAAAGAUUUGGAGUGAGGAUCAUUAUUCUUAUUGGUUAGAUUCAUCAGAUGGUUAGAUUCAUCCGCCAAGAAGCCGAGGAAAAAGCCAACGAGAUCUCCGUUUCCGCUGAAGAAGAAUUCAUCAUUGAGAAGUUGCAAUUAGUGAAGGUCGAGAAAAAGAAGAUCCGGCAAGAGUAUGAGCGUAUACAAAAACAAGUCGAAGUUCGUAAGAAAUAUAUAUUUGCUAGAAAAUUGUAAACAAGUCGAAGAUCCGGCAAGAGUUGCUUUAUUCCGGUUGGGUGUUGGAUGAUCCUAUAUGUGUUGCUGCUAGACGAGAUGGAAAGAUAGUAGUUCUUGCUUUAUGGGUUGAUGUCUGCUUAGAUCAUGGAUUUCUUGUUGAUGUAACUUCGAUAAUGUACAGACCAGUUAGAGAUUUAAACGGCAUUCCAGGCGCAAAGUCACUAGUUAUGUGUUUAACAGGAUAUCAACGCGAUAUGUGAGGCAUGUAAGCCGUUCACAUUCUGGAAAGUUCCGGCUGGUGAACAGGGAAUGUUGGGAUUGCAGUGAGGCAUGUGCAUCGUUUACAUUCUGGAAAGUUCGUUAGGGUUAAGAAAGGGGGGCUGCUGGUGCACGUGGUGGUGGGCGUGGAGCUGAACGUGGACGAGGAACUGGACGUGCCACCUUCUUUCGUGGUAGAGGUGCUCCAAGAGGAGUUGACUUUCAUGGUCGGGGUCAUGGCACUGGAUCCAGUAGGGGACGAGGGAUAUUUUAGAAAAACAUGUGUAUGAUUUAUCUAGUAUGCGUUUAGUAUUCAACUUCCGCCUUUAGAUGUUGCUUCCACAUUUAAAUUUUGAUGGUUCUUUCC